rnacentral:rRNA from 1 species
UGGGGAAUAUUGCACAAUGGGCGCAAGCCUGAUGCAGCAACGCCGCGUGCGGGAUGACGGCCUUCGGGUUGUAAACCGCUUUUAGUAGGGAAGAAGCCUUCGGGUGACGGUACCUGCAGAAAAAGGACCGGCUAACUACGUGCCAGCAGCCGCGGUAAUACGUAGGGUCCGAGCGUUGUCCGGAAUUAUUGGGCGUAAAGAGCUCGUAGGCGGUUUGUCGCGUCUGCUGUGAAAUCUAGAGGCUCAACCUCUAGCCUGCAGUGGGUACGGGCAGACUUGAGUGGUGUAGGGGAGACUGGAAUUCCUGGUGUAGCGGUGGAAUGCGCAGAUAUCAGGAGGAACACCGAUGGCGAAGGCAGGUCUCUGGGCACUUACUGACGCUGAGGAGCGAAAGCGUGGGGAGCGAACAGG